rnacentral:tRNA from 1 species
AUUUAAAUAGUUUAAAAAAAACAUUGAUUUGUGGAAUCAAAAUUAUUAAGUUAAUUUUAAAUA